rnacentral:lncRNA from 1 species
GGGGGGGGUUCACAUGCAUAUGUUCUUAUCAAGACAUGUGUAUGUGAUACAUGAAUAACAAUUAAGGUCUGGAACUUAUUUAAGGGUGAUGAAUAGAUGAGCUACAGAUGAAGAAUAGUCUUCUAGUUAGCAGUGUAUUUUCACGUUCAUCAUAGUGAGAAAUCAUAAUUCAGAGUGGUGAGGAUGCGAGCAGUUCCAUAUUUCUUAUAUUGCUUAAACUAACCACGGAUACGUUCAUUGGCAUGCACGAUUUUGUUUUUUCAUGCAUUCUUACAUGUGGGUAUUUAACAUUCUAUCCAUCCGUCCAUGUAUCCAUUACCUCUUAUCUAUUUAUCCAUCCACUCAUAUUGCAUCCAUCUAACCCCACAACAGAAAAAAACCAAUGGAUGUGUGCAUGCAUGCACAUGUACACACAUUACAACCAGUGUUCUUUGGUUGUCUAGACAUGGAAGUGUAGAGUUUCUCCCUCAGUAAUAUUUACCCUACUUAAGAUGCAUUCCUGUUUCGAAAAGGCUACUAUCCAACAUUAUUUACUUAUUUCAUUUUGUCUAGAAUGACUCAACUUAUUCCUCUGAUUGCAUAAAUGAGCCACAUAGAAGCUUGAAAUUCCCAGUCAAAAUGUUCCCUCAAAAAAAAAAAAGAAAAAAGAAGAAGAAGAAGUUGCAAAUCCCCUAAUAAACAAAUAGAUACUCGAUCUUUCAGGAAGGACCGAGGACCAACAUGCUCCUGAAUUUGAUGAUGAUGACCCAAGUUUUUCAUAAUGAUUAACCUUCUAGUUAUUCCGAAAAUACUAAAAGGACCAUUUUUCUUUUCUUUUUUAAAUUUAUACUAGUCUUCUGCUUUGUCAUACUAUUCCUUCUGCGUUCCUUCUGACUUUUUUUUUAACUUGCAAAAUGCAUGUCAUUGGAUUGAGUUGAAAAGGUUGCUCAUUCACGACAAGAGCUGCUAAUUCGAUGUUUUUCUUAUUUUUUAUUCUUGUUUAAAUGUUGAUGUUGUAAGACAAAUGUGAUUAGUAGCUUAUUUGUGAUUUGAUUAACAGCCUUACAUCUAUGCUAAACCUACUUUUCUCUCUCUCUCUCUCUCUCUCUCUCUCUCUCUCUCUCUUUCAUAUUUGGGGCGAACUCCAAUUUCCUUGGACAGGACUACAUGGAAGACUAUGAGGUGAUAGUGCCAUUCCAAUCUCUCGAAGCUCUUGGUUGCAAGGUUGAUGCAAUCUGUCCAUCCAAAAAACCUGGCGAGACUUGCCCAACUGCCAUCCAUGAUUUCGAAGGUCAGCAAACUUACAGUGAGAAACCUGGCCAUCAAUUCACUCUCAAUGCAAGCUUUGAAGAUGCAUUGGCUUCCUAUUCAAGUUAUCAUGGCCUUGUUAUACCGGGAGGACGCGCACCUGAAUAUCUUGCUCUUCAUGAUGCCAUAUUGGGUUUGGUGAAUCAGUUUAUGAAGGACAAGAAGCCAGUCGCUUCAAUAUGCCAUGGCCAACAGAUACUAGCAGCUGCUGGUGUGCUCAAGGUAUAAUUCUGUCAAAUUAUUUUUGUGACGUGAAUAGCAUAUUCCAACGAACUGUUGUAUAUGGUGAUCCAUGCUAUAUCCACUGUCCGUUCCUAUUAAUAGAUGGUUGAGAGGUCCACUUGCCUCUAUGAACAUCUGUGCUGGACCCACGAUGGGUAAUCUUCAGCCAAUUGUUGGUGGGGACAGAUGAUUGAGUAGCCUUGGGGGCACCAUAACAUAUUGUACUGGAUUAUGAUAUACUUUCAAUCAAUAGUUUACUAUUACCUGUAAGUGGUUGUGUUCUAGAGUGCUUUCCUUGAAGAAUGUAAUGCUAAUGGAUCUUGACUGGUGGGGCUGGUCUUGCUUUUUCCAAUUUUCUUUUAUACGGAUAGCCCUUCCGCAUGAGGUUUAAACUGGGCUUGAAACACUAAGAAGCUCAAGUGCUUCUGCCUAGGUGAAAACUGAGGAACAACAAUUUCAGAGCUUGGACCAGCAAUGAAACUAUAAAAAAUAAAAGGGCCCAAGGAUAGUAGCAUUGCAACUUUUGGUGGAUAAUUCAGCCAGAGCUGAAAGCUUAGUUCUUAGAUAAAAUGAUACUCAAAUUCUUUGUUAGCCUGGCAUCAACAUAGAACAUAUCUCACUUGAACUUCCAAGGUUGAGAAUUCAUAAAUGGCAUCUGCCAAAUCCUAACAAAUAUUUUGAUUUUUAACAAAAUCCAAGCUGGCACCAUACUUCACAUAAUACUAUCACCACCACCACCACCACCACCAAUACCACCGCUACCACCGCCAUCAUUUAACAUAAACAAAAAGGAAACCUUUGGAUCUGUGCACAGAUAUAGUUGAUAUAUCUAUGGAGACCCAUAGUUGUCUGAUCUUGGUUUGAUAGUUGGGAUUGAGUCAAAAACAAUGUCAUAUGCUAGCUCUAGUUGAGUCUGGCAUACUAAUUGAUGCAUGACAUAUUUGUCUGCUCUCUCUCAGUAGUCCAAUCAAAGAACAGAUGGCUGGAUGUCUCCAGACAUGCCAAUUUUGUCUCAAGAUGCAUGAAAGCUCUCCUUGGACAAAACGUCAUCAUUAUCAUUGCCGCCAGCAUCACGACAAUCACCAUUCACCACUAGUACCACCAACAAUACCAUCAUCAUAAUAAAGACCACAUCAUUAUCUUAUUGUACUUAUAUCCUACUUCCAGGGAAAGAAGUGUACCGCAUACCCUGCAGUGAAGCUUAAUGUGGUGCUCGGAGGCGGUGAGUGGAUGGAACCCGAGCCAAUAGAUCGAUGCUUCACUGAUGGUAAUCUAGUGACUGGGGCAGCUUGGCCUGGGCACCCUGAGUUCAUUUCUCAUUUGAUGGCAUUGCUUGGUAUAAAGGUCACUUUUUGACUAAUGUAUGCAUGUACAUGUGUGUUUGCUUGUUGCAUGGUGAAGUGUUGUGUGUUCAGAAGUUGAUGAGAACUAAUAAAACAGCUUCGAAGGUUAGCCAUAACCUUAUUAUGUCUACUUUUAGGCGAAGAGCUUAAUGCAGUAUAAAGUAUGAGAUGGUUUUGUUUUUGCCUUUUUAUUACGAGGCAUAUCUUCUUACAAAGAAGGUUAUGGGACAGGGGUGGGUAUGUUGUAUGCAUAUACUAGGGGCAUGCGUUAGGUGGUCUGGCAGUCCACCAUGGUGCCCGAACAACUUAGGGGAAUUUGAUUUCUUUGAUCUGAAAGUUUUUGGUUGAUCUUUAAUUUAUAUAUAUUAAUCUACCAUGGCAACAGCUUAAAUGAGUUCUUAAAAUACUAGAUCUAUGUCUCUCAAAUGGGAGCUUACUUUUUGAAGAGAGAUUUCUUGAGCUAAAAAAUAGUUCUUUUUAGAGAAAUUGAUCUUGAGGGUGGCUACAAGGGUGAAAUUGAUUUUGGCAUAUUGGUCAUGGUGGUAGAGCUGUAACAUAACUUCAGGAAUUCCAAUCCAUUAACAUGUAAUUUGGAACUGAAAACUUUUCAUAUUUG